AUGAAGCGUCGUGGGGCCGUUGAAGCUCGCCACGGAUUGCAAUGGAGCGUCGCCGGUGUUGCCAUGGAUGCUGCUGCGCUGGGUGUUGGCAUUUUGAGCAGCACCCAGUGUUGCGAUGCAGCAGUUGCUGGCGGCUCCGGUGCUGCGAUGCACCAGUCGACGGCGGCUCCGGUGCUGCGAGAUUGCCGACAGGUAAAGACGCUGGAUCAUGGGCGUGGUGAAUGGAAGAACAGAGAAAGAAGACAACGACUUUGUUUGUUGAGGAAGAAGACAGUGACUCUGUUUGUUGAGAUCGCACGGCCACCAUCCAUCGGAUCCGACGGCUGGCUAGGCGGCUUAAUUUUGUGA
rnacentral:rRNA from 1 species